UCAAAACAUAACAUUCAUUGUUUGGUUCCAUCAUAGGAGAACGAAAGAAAAACGGAGCACAAGGCUCAGAUAAAGCAUAAAAGAUAAAAUUUGAAAUAAAAUGCUGGUAAGCACCAUAGUGGAACACCAUAACCCAAAAGGAGACGAAUCAAUGCUCUUAUUGGAAACGUGGUGCCAAAGGAAAGCUGUGGUAUCAACCUCUAGCUUCACGAGAUAACAAAGAGUGGAGCCAGGCUGGACCUUGCGAAGCUAUGUAUGAUUGGUACCGGUGGCCCGUUGUAACCGACCCUGCAAUCAUGUUCGCUGCUACAUUACGUUCAUCAGCUGCAUGAUCAAGACUCCAGUAGUUCCUUUAUGCCUUUAUGCAUAUUUUUAGUAGUUCCUUUAUGCCUUUAUGCCUUUAUGCAUAUCCUCCAUCAUUCUAGUAUCCAAAAAUCUGGAAAUUAGUUAUUGUAUCCUUCACGGCUAAUAUUUUUUUUGAGAAAGAG
rnacentral:lncRNA from 1 species